rnacentral:rRNA from 1 species
GCAAGUCGAGCGGAAACGAAGAUAGCUUGCUAUCAGGCGUCGAGCGGCGGACGGGUGAGUAAUGCUUAGGAAUCUGCCCAGUAGUAGGGGAUAGCCCGGGGAAACUCGGAUUAAUACCGUAUACGCCCUUUUGGGGAAAGCAGGGGAUCUUCGGACCUUGCGCUAUUGGAUGAGCCUAAGUCGGAUUAGCUAGUUGGUGGGGUAAUGGCUCACCAAGGCAACGAUCCGUAGCUGGUCUGAGAGGAUGAUC